UUGUGGCAUACCUAUUCCAGUCAGGCUUUCAAGAUGCAGCAUCAUCUAUUAUAGAAGAACUACACUUACAAAAUCACACUGUAAUAAUCGUUUUCUUAAUUAGCUCUUUAGUCCUUUAUGUUAUUUCAUUAAUACUAACAACUAAACUAACCCACACAAAAUAGAUGCUUAAGAAGUAGAAACAGUAUGAAUUAUCUUACUCGCUAUUAUUUUAAUCCUAAUUACUUUACUGUCUUUAUGAAUCCUAUACAUGAUAGGUAAAAUGAGUAUCUCUUCCCCAACUGUAAAAACCAUAGGCUACCAAUGAUAUUUAGGUAUAAAUAUACAGACUACAAAGACCUGAAGUUUGAUUCUUAUAUAAUCCCUACAACAGACCUUAAACCAGGAGAUUUAUGACCACUAGAAGUUGAUAAUUCGAGUAGUCCUACUUAUGGAAAUGUCAAUUUUCAUAUUAAUCUCAUUCAAAGAUGUAUUACAUCCAUAAGCUGUUCCAUCAUUAGGCCUAAAAACAGAUUAAAUUCCAGGAUGUUUAAAUCAAGCAACUCUAACAUCCACAUGACCAGGCCUAUACUAUGGACAAUGCUCAGAAAUUUGUGGAUCAAAUCACAGCUUUACGCCUAUUGUACUUGAAUUAGUGCUGCAAAAACUGAUCGGCACCUAUGUCAUCGUGAAGCUAA
rnacentral:lncRNA from 1 species